rnacentral:tRNA from 1 species
CUUGGCCGAGUGGUUAAGGCGAGAGACUAGAAAUCUCUUGGGUUCGCCCGCGCAGGUUCGAAUCCUGCAG